GGUGGCUCAGUGGUAGAGUGCUUGCCUUGCAUGCAUGAGGCCCCAGGUUCGAUUCCUCAGCACCA
rfam:Dipodomys ordii contig_81319, whole genome shotgun sequence.